CAAGCAGCACAAAAAGCUGCUGUGUGUUUGAUCAACACCUGCUUGUUGAUCACAUAGUUGUGUGUUUCCACGCGGGACUCCACAAAAGUAACCAGAAAGUCACAGAGUGGAGCGCAGACCUCCACCAUGACCAACCAUCCUGAGCUAUCACAGCUUCAACUCUCCUGGGAAGGCUGUCCACAAGGUUGCAGAGUGUGUUUAUAGCAAUUUUUCCAGCGUUCUUCCAAAAGCGCAUCGGUGUUCAGGUCAGGACUCUGUGCAAGCCAGUC